CCGGUUGUCACGCCAGUGGCAAUGCCGGGUAGCUAUGUCUGGAAGGGAUAAACGCUGAAGGCAUCUAAGCAUGAAGCCCACCCCAAGAUUAGGUCUCCCGUCCCGAUGAAAAUCGGGACCUGAAGGUCUGUGGUAGACUACCACGUUGAUAGGCUGGAGGUGUAAGUGCAGUAAUGCAUUGAGCUGACCAGUACUAAUAGACCGUGUGACUUGACCCU
rfam:Nitrospirae bacterium CG2_30_41_42 cg2_3.0_scaffold_939_c, whole genome shotgun sequence.